rnacentral:lncRNA from 1 species
UGCACACAUGCUUGGAUUUAUAGGCAAAUGAAAAGACGAGAGAUGUUUAGAAAGGUUUAGAGGAGAAUGGGAUAGUUGUAUGGACAAGUCAUUCCUCAUAUAAUCCUCAAAGGCGAUAUGAUAUGUGAAUGUCAGGGCGAAACGCGAGAUACACAAAAGCUGCCCCAGUUUGGUGUUUGCGAAAAUGAGCUGGGAUUUGGAUCCAUGAAAGUUAGGUAAGGAAAUUUCAAAUGAGAUUUGCAAAGCUGCCCUAGUCUUGAGAUUAUGGAUUGAUGAAAAACUUGUGUGAGACUCACAAAGCUGCCCAAUUUUUUGUUUGCUUUUUUUUCGUUGUUUAUUGUGGUAUGGGUUGAUGAUAAACUCGAGUGAGACUCACAAAGUUGUCCCGUUUUUUUUUUCUUUGGCAAGGGGUUCCAUUUGGAAGAGGUAUUGGACAUGAAAAGGAUCGGCUAAAAGGAUGGCCCCAAAUUAGUUUGAUUUUUCUUUUGCAUGCUUCUGGUUAGAUGGCAGGGUGAUCCCCUCUUCCCGAGACAUUACUUUUUCUUUUUUUUUCUUUUUUCUUCUCUUCUCUUUUUUUUACGACACAUUGAAAAUCAUUUCCCCUUAUCGCAAAAUUAAGCUUCAUGAAAACUUUAGCAAACAUUAUCCAAUCUGCGUGGACUUUAUUAAGCUUGUAACGUGGCAAAGGGCUAAAAGGUAUUGAAAGAAAGGAUAUAAAGGCCCAAAUGAAUGUUUGUUGGUUAUUAUUUUUUUUGAAACAAGGGUUAUCAUCUAAGUAUUGCAUCAACUAUUUGACUUUUUGAGCACUUUGUUUUUUCCUUGAACUUCGUUUUUCAUUCUUUUUGCUCAACAUCACUUUGUGAUUUUUUGUUGUUCUUUUUGUUUUUCUUUUUUUUCUCUCUUCUUGAUGAAUUCUCUUCGUUUGAUCAUUGAGUGCUCUUAAUUUGCAUCAUGAGUCGACUCCUUCCUUAUGACAACCCUUGCUUGGGGAUGAAUUUGAAAAAAGAAUUUGUUUUUGGCUCAAACAGGGUGACAAUGGAUAUAUUUUUGCUUUUAGGUAAAGACAAGAAGGCCACACAUCAUUUUGAACUCUGAUUGCUUUAUUUUCAAAAGAUUAAUUUUGCGAUUGGAUGACCUCAACAUGAGUCGUUUUUUUUAGACUGCCCUUUCGGGUUUUCAAUCUAGUGGAAUGCUUUUUUUUUUAAGUUUUUAUUUAUUUAUUUUUUUUUGUUUUUUUUUGUCUCAAUGGAUUCGGGGACCACCUUACUAGCGCAAGCAAGAAAUCUUUUGGUUAGGUCAAUCUGCCCCAGUAUAAAGGUCUACUUCGUUACCGAGGGCAGUGACAGUGUUUGUUGGGGAAGAUCCUUUAUUUUGGGAAAGUGAAGUGUGGAGGUUUUCAAGCAACACGCGCACAAACCUCUUGAGAAAAAUGUCAAG